AAGAAGUUUAGGCCGAAGAGAGUUGGGAAGAGAGCCGUCUGCUAAACCUUUCCCUACUUAAAAGUACUUACUCAAAAAGUGGAAGUUUGAGUACUGUUACAGUCUUGAGUUGGUGCACUUUGAAAGUUUUGAAACGUCUUCAGGAAAAAUGGAAGACCAAUCGGGGACAUUGGUAACCAUCCGUCUCAUCCGUUCAUUUCCUCAUCGGAACAUCAAACACUUUGUCCUGCACAACAUCAACCUAGAUGAUACUGUUGAGGAGUUUAUGAACAAGAUACGAGAAGAUAUCAAGACGAGAAGUGGCCUCCCUCCUCCAUUUAGGAAACAUGCGUAUGAUACACUGAAGAUUGAAUACAAGGCUUAUGGAUCAAAGACAAGUGAUCCUGUUAUUAAUAAAGGAGAUGAUGACAAGCUUAUGCUGAAACCAAACCAAACUCUUAGGGCAUGCAACAUAGAGAAUGAGACAGAAUUGUCCUUCUUCAAUCUCAAAGAUUAUGAGGAGUACAAACUUGAUAGCACUACAGUUUGGUGACGAUAGUUUCCUUGAUAUCUGUACAAAUAUCUUGUGAGAAGAGAUUCUAUACAAAAGGCGAUAUGCAGCACCGGUUGGAUGAUGGAUCCUGGCCUCUUGCCCAGAGGAUGACCUUGAGAAAAGAAGAGUAAUUGACCCUGAUCAUCACCCCAAGGCCCUCCACCCCCCCCCCCUCUCUUUCUUUCCUCUGACUUAAACGCUUAUCCCAUCCCACUCCGAACCUCAAUUCCUCUUUUAUCUUAAUCACAACCCUCCCCCCCCCCUGCAUUCGUGGAUAUCUAUUACCCACCAUUCCUCAU